CUGAUGUGCACCACUACCUUUAAGAGAAGACUGGGUUACGUAUGGAAUCAACUCGACUUACUCUAUGGUUGGGCGAAGCUUGCACCCCCAAGGAUCAGACAAGGACACAUCUUUCUGACAGUUGUUGAUAAUGAGGCCAAUGGAAAGGCUAAUUGUUUAAAGUUCUGCGAGUGUUCGUUAUAAAGCCGAGUUCGAGUAAAUUAUUCUAUGGAGGCAGCGCUCUGUGGGAAAGCCCCGUUCCUCAAUGCGGGGAGUUUGAUAUACCGUCUGCUCUGAGGGGCUUGGAUUAGUCCAUCUGUUCCUGGUUUUCAAAAACCUGAGGUGAAGAAAAUAAAUAACAGGAAAAACAAAAAUGAAAAAUGCGUCCAGUUCGUGAAUUGCAUAAGUAUGCAUGUGCUCCUAAAUCACCUAUCUGUCCAGACACUCCAAACUUUGACCGAUAUGCCGUG
rnacentral:lncRNA from 1 species